rnacentral:tRNA from 1 species
UAGGAAGUGGUGUAGUGGGAGCACUAAGAGUUUUGAUCUCUUAAGGUGGGGUUCAAACCCCC